GCGCACUUCGUUCUGACUUCUUCCUUUCGCGCCCUCGGAGCAAUUUACCGCCUAGUAGUUCCUCAAAAGCGGCGCCGUUGGUCCGUCUCCGCACAUGGCGCCCAACGCCAGCCGCCUUUCUAGAGCGUCUGCGCUGUUUUCGUAGCCCUUAGGCUCUCCGGCCUUGCUGACGUUGCGACCUGGCUUAAUUGGCAUUUCUUCCGAGGGAGAUCACUGAGAAACUGAGAGAGGCAGGAAGCUGAAGUUGUGGUUGCUGACCCUUGUCUUCAAGAAAUGUUAUUUAUUCCAGAAUACAGCUACGAGCAACACAAUGGGAGUCCCUUAUCUCAAAUGCCAGCAGUGCCAUAAAACUCUCUGAAGCAAGAAAAAGAGAUUCAUGGUCUUCUACUCCCUGUUUUAAAUUUGAUAUGGCAGCCUCUUGAUGUGGCAAGUAAAAAGUGUGUGAAAAAGUGUGUGUGGAUUCAGAUGUUGUAUGAAUCACUAGAGAAUGAAUGAAAAUCAAUGUUAACAUUUUCUGAACUUUUCUUAGAAUAACAAUAUUAGUUCAUUUUUA